CUAAAGCAGAAAUUGCAACCAGCCGGAUGCUACCCGGAAAAAAAUUUUUUGGUGUAGGUCACUCAACAGCCGAAUGUUUGCAGAACCUCCAUGCCUUCUGACGGUGCUACAGGCUGCUGGUUCUAAAUGUAAUUUGGACAAAUCAUUGUAAUUAGGGUUCCAGUGUCACUCCUUAAAACAUUUAUUGACUGACAGCUGUUCGGAAGAUUUCCAUUUUCAAGCGUGCACUGCACCACAAGGGGUGGAGGUCUGUCCAGUACAAGGUCAGCCGUGCAUGGACAGAGUUGGUCAUUGUGUCUCAACACCAAGUCAGUGGAGGUGUGCACAAUGUAGAGGCGUCAGCUUCAGAAGCAAUGGAUGACUGCUGGUACAUGCUUAGGGUGCUGGCCAAACCCAUGGACCCAGAUGGUGGAGCCUGGAUGGAAUCACUGUGAAGCAGGUGUCAACUGGUCACAUCACAUCAGCCGGAGCAGAUUUAAAAGUGAAUAGGGCUGGAGCUGUACAGCAGCUCCGGUGGGCUCUGGUUCCCAACUGGAGUGAACGUGUAUGAACUCAAGAACAUAUGAAGGGCUUCCUCGGGAGAAGAUUGAGUGAUAUAUUUUUUCAUCUGGGUUUUGAAUGUAAGGAUCAGCUACUCCACCUCUCCAUUAAACUGGGGAUGAUAGGGAGGGGCCAUAACAAUAGAGAGCUUAAACAAAUGGUUUUUCCAAUUUUCUUGACAGUUCACACCAUAGAUGUUUUAUCAUGAAACAGGCCCAGCGCUUACUAUAUUGUCACCUACGAGACACUAUACUGAU